rnacentral:rRNA from 1 species
UACAGAGGGUGCGAGCGUUAAUCGGAAUUACUGGGCGUAAAGCGUGCGUAGACGGUAGCGUAAGUCAGAUGCGAAAGCCCCGGGCUCAACCUGGGAACUGCAUUUGAGACUGCUCUGCUCGGGUGCGGAAGAGGGAAGCGGAAUUUCCGGUGUAGCGGUGAAAUGCGUAGAUAUCGGAAGGAACACCAGUGGCGAAAGCGGCUUCCUGGUCCGACACCGACGU